UUAAAGGAAUUAGACGGGGGCCCGCGACAAGCGGUGGAGCAUGUGGUUUAAUUCGACGCAACGCGAAGAACCUUACCUGGGCUUGACAUCUGGGGAACCCCCUGGAAACAGGGGGUGCGGAGCAAUCCGAGCCCCAAGACAGGUGCUGCAUGGCUGUCGUCAGCUCGUGUCGUGAGAUGUUGGGUUAAGUCCCGCAACGAGCGCAACCCUUGUCUUUAGUUGCCAGCAUUCAGUUGGGCACUCUAAAGAGACUGCCGGUGUUAAACCGGAGGAAGGUGGGGAUGACGUCAAGUCCUCAUGGCCUUUAUGCCCAGGGCUACACACGUGCUACAAUGGGCGGUACAAAGGGUCGCGAGCCCGCGAGGGUAAGCUAAUCCCAAAAAGCCGUCCUCAGUUCGGAUCGGAGUCUGCAACUCGACUCCGUGAAGUUGGAAUCGCUAGUAAUCGUGGAUCAGCAUGCCACGGUGAAUACGUUCCCGGGCCUU
rnacentral:rRNA from 1 species